rnacentral:rRNA from 1 species
GACGAACGCUGGCGGCGUGCUUAACACAUGCAAGUCGAACGGAAAGGCCCUGCUUUUGUGGGGUGCUUGAGUGGCGAACGGGUGAGUAACACGUGAGUAACCUGCCCUUGACUUUGGGAUAACUUCAGGAAACUGGGGCUAAUACCGGAUAGGAGCUCCUGCUGCAUGGUGGGGGUUGGAAAGUUUCGGCGGUUGGGGAUGGACUCGCGGCUUAUCGGCUUGUUGGUGGGGUAGUGGCUUACCAAGGCUUUGACGGGUAGCCGGCCUGAGAGGGUGACCGGCCACAUUGGGACUGAGAUACGGCCCAGACUCCUACGGGAGGCAGCAGUGGGGAAUAUUGCACAAUGGGCGGAAGCCUGAUGCAGCAACGCCGCGUGCGGGAUGACGGCCUUCGGGUUGUAAACCGCUUUCGCCUGUGACGAAGCGUGAGUGACGGUAAUGGGUAAAGAAGCACCGGCUAACUACGUG